rnacentral:misc_RNA from 1 species
GUGAAUCAUCAAAUUUUUGAACGCAAAUUGCACUCUCUGCGAAGCGUAUGCCUGUUUGUGUGUCAGCCUAAAAUAAAAUGAAAUAGUCGCUGUUUCGCGGUUACCUUCGUCGGAAAUUGGGUUAUCUUAAACCUUUUGUUUUUAAGCGGAUUUAAAUUUUCUUUACGAUUCUACGAAAGUUUCUUAGAUUUAUUUACAUUUUUUUGGUAUAUAUAUUUCUUAGUCGUGGCCUUUGCAUCGGAUCGCGUCCAUAUUUAU